GAUGAGCGCUGGCGGCGUGCCUAAUACAUGCAAGUCGAGCGAACGGACGAGAAGCUUGCUUCUCUGAUGUUAGCGGCGGACGGGUGAGUAACACGUGGAUAACCUACCUAUAAGACUGGGAUAACUUCGGGAAACCGGAGCUAAUACCGGAUGAUAUUUUGAACCGCAUGGUUCAAAAGUGAAAGACGGUCUUGCUGUCACUUAUAGAUGGAUCCGCGCUGCAUUAGCUAGUUGGUAAGGUAACGGCUUACCAAGGCAACGAUGCAUAGCCGACCUGAGAGGGUGAUCGGCCACACUGGAACUGAGACACGGUCCAGACCCCUACGGGAGGCAGCAGUAGGGAAUCUUCCGCAAUGGGCGAAAGCCUGACGGAGCAACGCCGCGUGAGUGAUGAAGGUCUUCGGAUCGUAAAACUCUGUUAUUAGGGAAGAACAUAUGCGUAAGUAACUGUGCACAUCUUGACGGUACCUAAUCAGAAAGCCACGGCUAACUACGUG
rnacentral:rRNA from 1 species